GCACUGGUGGUUCAGUGGUAGAAUUCUCGCCUGCCACGCGGGAGACCUGGGUUCGAUUCCCGGCCAGUGCA
rnacentral:tRNA from 1 species